rnacentral:rRNA from 1 species
GACAGAGGGUGCAAACGUUGUUCGGAAUUACUGGGCGUAAAGCGAGUGUAGGCGGUUCGGUAAGUCGGAUGUGAAAGCCCCGGGCUCAACCCGGGAAGUGCACUCGAUACUGCCGAGCUAGAGUAUCGGAGAGGUUGGUGGAAUUCUCGGUGUAGAGGUGAAAUUCGUAGAUAUCGAGAGGAACACCGGUGGCGAAGGCGGCCAACUGGACGAAUACUGACGCUGAGACUCGAAAGCGCGGGGAGCGAACGGG